rnacentral:rRNA from 2 species
CGCUGGCGGCGUGCUUAACACAUGCAAGUCGAACGGGAUCCAUCAGGGCUUUGCUUGGUGGUGAGAGUGGCGAACGGGUGAGUAAUGCGUGACCGACCUGCCCCAUACACCGGAAUAGCUCCUGGAAACGGGUGGUAAUGCCGGAUGCUCCAGUUGAUCGCAUGGUCUUCUGGGAAAGCUUUCGCGGUAUGGGAUGGGGUCGCGUCCUAUCAGCUUGACGGCGGGGUAACGGCCCACCGUGGCUUCGACGGGUAGCCGGCCUGAGAGGGCGACCGGCCACAUUGGGACUGAGAUACGGCCCAGACUCCUACGGGAGGCAGCAGUGGGGAAUAUUGCACAAUGGGCGCAAGCCUGAUGCAGCGACGCCGCGUGAGGGAUGGAGGCCUUCGGGUUGUAAACCUCUUUUAUCGGGGAGCAAGCGAGAGUGAGUUUACCCGUUGAAUAAGCACCGGCUAACUACGUGCCAGCAGCCGCGG